rnacentral:rRNA from 1 species
UUUUAGAAAUUAAUUUAAAGUCUAACCUGCCCACUGAAUUAUUUUAAAUGGCCGCAGUAUCUUAACUGUGCAAAGGUAGCAUAAUCAUUAGUCUUUUAAUUGAAGGCUGGAAUGAAUGGUUGAAUGAAAUAUUAACUGUUUCAUAAAAAUUUUUUAUAGAAUUUUAUUUUUUAGUCAAAAAGCUAAAAUUUAAUUAAAAGACGAGAAGACCCUAUAAAUCUUUAUAUUUUUUAAAUUUAAAUUAUAUAGAUAAUUUUAAUUUUUAUUUUUAAAAAUAUUUUAUUGGGGUGAUAUUAAAAUUUAAUAAACUUUUAAUUUAAAAUUUACAUAAAUUAAUGAAUUAUUGAUCCAUUUAUUAUGAUUAAAAAAUUAAGUUACUUUAGGGAUAACAGCGUAAUUUUUUUAGAGAGUUCAUAUUGAUAAAAA